GAUGAACGCUGGCGGCGUGCCUAAUACAUGCAAGUCGAGCGAACAGACGAGGAGCUUGCUCCUCUGACGUUAGCGGCGGACGGGUGAGUAACACGUGUAUAACCUACCUAUAAGACUGGGAUAACUUCGGGAAACCGGAGCUAAUACCGGAUAAUAUAUUGAACCGCAUGGGUCAAUAGUGAAAGACGGCUUUGCUGUCACUUAUAGAUGGAUCCGCGCCGCAUUAGCUAGUUGGUAAGGUAACGGCUUACCAAGGCAACGAUGCGUAGCCGACCUGAGAGGGUGAUCGGCCACACUGGAGCUGAGACACGGUCCAGACUCCUACGGGAGGCAGCAGUAGGGAAUCUUCCGCAAUGGGCGAGAGCUUGACGGAGCAACGCCGCGUGAGUGAUGAAGGUCUUCGGAUCGUAAAACUCUGUUAUUAGGGAAGAACAAAUGUGUAAGUAACUAUGCACGUCUUGACGGUACCUAAUCAGAAAGCCACGGCUAACCACGUG
rnacentral:rRNA from 1 species